UAGGGUUAAUAAAAUUUAUGUUGCAUAUAAAUUAAGUUAUAAAACUAACCUUAC
rnacentral:tRNA from 1 species